UCAGACAUGGUGUAGCAGGAACACAGUCUCCUUUCAUUGUACUCAACAUACCCCCAGUUGCAGAGGCAGUCCAGGGUUCGAAUCCCUGUGUCUGAA